rnacentral:rRNA from 1 species
UACAUGACUCUCGGCAAUGGAUAUCUCGGCUCUUGCAUCGAUGAAGAGCGCAGCGAAAUGCGAUACGUGGUGCGAAUUGCAGAAUCCCGCGAAC